rnacentral:lncRNA from 1 species
AUUGUGUUUGUGGUUGAUUGAUUUGCUUGCAGGUUCUGACAUUAAGUCCUAAGUCUGGCUUAGGUACCGGAUUAGGCUUGAUGUGUAUUUUGUUAGUGUAGGCCUGACGUUGGCCUGUAUGUGUUUGAGUGAUUGCUUGUGAAGGGUGGUGGAUAUUAAAGCUAUGCGGUAUCAUUGGUUGGCCGAUCAUGUUCUUGUUUGAUUGUUGGUCGAUCAAUUAAUGAUACUUGUAUAGUCUAAGUGUCUAACACUACAUGAGUAUUGAACUCAGGCGUAUAUAUGGUUAACUAGGAAUUGCUUGUUGACUUGUUUUAAUGCAGGUUCCCGUUACUUGAAGCUAGAUCAUGGCAGGAGGCCAAGUCUAACUUAGUAACGGUUUGCUUAGCCUUAGCUUUUAUUGCAUGCUAGGGCUAGAUUGAUUGUUAUUUUGGGUUGUCUGGGUAGAGUCUAGGUUGCGUGUAGAGGCCGCCAGCUCACUGAGUAAUACUAGAUUACUCAUCCAACUCCGUUGUCCUUUUUGCAGGCCGCUUUAGGUAAGGAUGAUCGGAUAGCUUCGUGCUGGACGUUAGGACCGCCGGUGUAGAUUUUCAUGCCUUUUGUAAACGGUAUUGUGAAUUGUGUUAUGUUGACUCGAUUUGGCAUUAGGCCGGGCCCAGUCUUGAAUUAUUUAAUGUAUGAAUAUUUCUUGAAUCAAUAAAAGUAAUUGUUUUAUAUGCGCUUCAUGAGUACUCUGAUAUUUGACUAGUCCGGUCUAACACAACGUUAGGUCGAGGUACGGGUUGAAAAGCCUUAGGCCUUGAUCUAACGGAAAACGUUAACUCUAGGUACGGGUUGCAAAGCCUUAUGCCUUGACGCAGCGGGACGAGUUAGUGGAUGAACUGGUCUAGGUCGUGGAGUAAAGUUUGUGACUCUGACCGGAUUGUCCCUAUCCCGUCACGUAGCGCUUCCGGACCAUGGUGUUGGGUUGGACGGUCAGUCAUGUUCUUGUUUGAUUGUUGGCUGGCCGGUUGACCUUUCAUCUCCAACCCUUGGUGUGGGUCGUCUGUCGGUCAUGUUCUUGUUUGAUUGUUGGCUGGCCGGUUGACCUUUCAUCUCCAACCCUUGGUGUGGGUCGUCUGUCGGUCAUGUUCUUGUUUGAUUGUUGGCCGGUGGGUCGACCUAUGCUUAGGACGGUUCGGGGGUGUUACAGAGGUGGUAUCAGAGCAUGGUUUCGUCCAUGCUUCCGGAACUCAUGAUUUAAUCGGUUUUAAAUAUUUAUCGAGUCAAAAUGAGUCACAAAAGGCAUUAGGGAAACCGGUCACGUCCAGCGAUAGGAUUUGUGGUUUUAGGAAUUAGGAUUGAGAUAGUGGAAUCUAGAAUUGCUAGGUUGCUUGGUUAGAACUGUUAGGUUGCUGGUUAGAAUUGCGGUUAGGUUGCAUUGUUAGUAUUUGUUGGGUUAAUUGUCUACUAACUUGCAUGUGAAGUGUUCUUUUGAGUUGCAGCUUGUGUGUUCGUUGAUCGGAACUUUAAGGAAUGGAAACCUUAAAAUGAAAAGAGUUCAAGGCUAAAAGCCCAAAGUGAAGAGAGAGAGAUUCAGAGGGACUGGACAGUGGUAUGGACUGGACAAGUAUGAGCAAGACUUCGUUGAGAAAGGACUUCAUCAGUUUUGGGAAAAGAAAGGUUUCAGUGAUCAGAAGCAAAGAUGGUGCACGUUAUGGCAGAGUAAAUGCAAGAAGACGAUUCAGUAUUCAUCAAGUGAAGAGUUUUGUGGCAACUUUGAGAACGAGACUAAUGGGAGAGCAGUAGAUACGGUAAAGCAAUAUGAAGAUGAAUUCAGCAUGAGAGUGAAGCGAUAUGGAGAUGAGUUAAGAAUGAGUGAAGCAUGGGAAAUCAAGAAGUGAAGGACGGAUUCAAGAAUAAAGGAAUGCUUUGAGAUGUAUCAAGACGGAGUGAGUUCAGAACCAGAAGUUUGGGUGGAGACCAGAGAAACCGAAAGGAGGAAACCAAGGGCAAACCGAUAAAGAAGCACAUCAAGUGAUCAAGACCGCGAGACAAGUGAUCCAAGGAGAAAUUUUCAUCAAGGGGAUGAACAUGUCGUGAAGCUGAGCCAUUGGACAACUAAGAAUUCGAGGACGAAUUCUAUUAAGGGGGGGGAGAAUGUAGAAACCCGUUAAAAAAAAAAAAAAAAAAAAAAAAAAAAAAAAAAAAAAAAAAAGAGAGAGAGAAUGGUCGAGUAUCUUUGUGGUUGAGUCGCGGGCAAUACAGAUCGAUCGGGAAAUUUGAAGUACGAGAAGGUCGAAGAAUGGAUCGUGAGUGAAGCAUGAGUUGAGUUAAGCUGCUCUACCAUUGUUAGAAAUGUCUUAGAUUGAUCAUACGGCAGUUUUGAAAGAAUUACAUUUUUGAAGCACGACGGUUUAGAAGCUCGACGUUUUGGAAGAUUGACGUUUCUUCAUCGCGAAGUUUUCUCGGAAUAUCUUCGUAUCAGUAAAAUAUUAUUCUGAAGACAUUAUAAGUCGGAAGCAGGACGGGAAUUAAGCAGGACGGGAAGCAAGCACGAUGGGAUUGAAGCACGACAGGAAAACCCAAAGUUGGGCGAAAACCCUAAUUUCGGUAUUACGAAAUUCUUUGAGGAAGCCGGAGGCUCGGGAAAUAUUUUUAAAGGAUAUCAGACAUCAUCUGAAGUUUAUUAAAAAUAUUCAAAGAAUCAGAAUGGGAGCGGAAAAAUAUUCGGGAUUGAUCGCGGGUCAGAAAUUCACAAGAAGGGUCUAAAUCGCGCAAAGGAACCGAGAAGCUCGAGGUGGCUUGAUCUAAGGGAUAUGAACGUGGUGGCAACUGUCUAACCAGCUGAGUGUCAAGAGAAGUUCGAGGUGUCGCCGUGCAUGGAAUCUGCACAUGCAGCUUGACAUGUAGAAGCACGAGGUGGAUUGGCCAAGCCCGAGAUGUCGCGACGCAUGCAACCGAAGCAUGCUGAUCGACAUGUGUGAGGAUGUGUGGCGCCUUGCAUGAGCUCCAGUCAUGCAGCCUGACAUCUGGGAGGAGUGGUGGAUUCCUGCAUGUGUCCUGUACAUGCAGCCAGCCAUGUGGAGCACGAGGUGUCGCCGUGCAUGCGUCCGGAGCCAUGCAGAGCGACACACGGGCUGCCACCAACCUGAAGCUGAUUGGCUGGUGUCUCCUAUAAAUACCCCACGACCCCAGCUCAUUUCUUCAAAUCCAGACCUGUCCAAACCAAGUUAAAACCUUGAGAGAAAAGUAGAAAAAGAAAGUAAGAGGUUCUGAGCUAUUUCGAGAGUUUUAGAGAGUUUUCGAGAUCAGUUUCUCUACUGAUUUCAAGUCAGUGCCUAGGGAAGGUUCUGGCCAACUGAAGAUCAAUAAAUUGAAGACCAAUUCAGAUGGGAAGCAAGGCAACGUGGUUAGAGAGAGAGAGAGAGAGAGAAAGAGAGUGUAGCUGAGUUCCGAAGAUCGAUACUUCACGAAGAAGCGAAGUUCUGUCUGCAAUUGUUAUGCGGAAGCUCUGCCCAAAUCAAUCUGUCCACUCUACUCAUAUUCUUUGAUGAUAAAGUGGAGUUGCUGUCCAAGAUCAGUUCAGUUCCAUGGUUUCAGCUCAGUCGAGGUUAUGAUUCGAUACUCUGUUCAGAUUUCAGAAGAAUUGUUCAGACGCUAAGGAAGGUGCUGUUCAAGUUGCGUUCAGUCCAGACCAGUAUCAGGGGAGGUUCUGUACAAGUCAAGAUCAGUCCAGUCCAGUCCAGUCAAGGCGUCCCUUGGGUUUUGGCCAUGUCCUCUCCGAUCAACCAGCUGCUUCUUGCCUAGAACACUGUGAGUUGGUUUGUUUGAAUUCCACUUGGAAUUUAGGGUAGAUCGAGUCUGCAUAUAGAUUAGAAUGAUCACAUUAUUGAAUGGUAGAGUCCUUAGGGUUAUUUUAUUUAUGGAACCGGACUUAGUUUAGCAAGGGCUAAGCUGAGAUGAAUGGAUGAUCAGUUCUCUAUUGAUUUCGAGUCAUCGCCUUGGGAAGGUUCUGUCCAACUGAAGGUCAAUCAAGUGAAGAUCAGAUCAGAUGGGAGUCAAGUCAACGUGGCUAUAGAGAGAGAGAGAGAGAGAGAGAGAAAGGAAGUGAUCGAUUCUAGAGUAUGGUCGAUUCUGAAGACCGAUACUCCACCGAGAAGGCCAGUUCCGUCCAAUCGGCGAUUCUCUACGAUUGUGACGCGGAAGCUCUGUCCAAUUCAAUUCGUUCAAGCCAGUCAUAUUCUAUGAUGGUCUAGUGGAGGUGCUGCCCAGAGUUAGUUCAGAACCACGGGUUCAGAUCAGUCGAAGUUCUGCUCGAUACUCCGCGGGAAGUCCGAAGAACUGUCCAGAAGCUAGAGGAGGUUCUGUCCGAGUCCAGAUCAGCCUGUCGAGGCCUGUCAACUUCUUCAUGGUGAAGCCAAGGUUGUGUCCAAGACAAGAUCAGUCCAUUCCAGUCCAGUCAAGGCGUCCAUUGGGUUUUGGCCAAGUUUCUUCAUGGUGAAGCCGAGGUUGUGUCCAAGACAAGAUCAGUCCAGUCCAGUUCAGUCAAGGCGUCCCUUGGGUUUUGGCCAAGUCCUCUCUGAUCAACCAGCUGCUUCUCGCCUAGAACACUGUGAGUUGGUUUGUUUGAAUUCCACUUGGAAUUUAGGGUAGAUCGAGUCGCAUAUAGAGUAGAAUGAUCACGUUAUUGAAUGGUAGAGUCCUUAGGGUUAUUUUAUUUAUGGAACCGGACUCAGUUUAGCAAGGGCUAAGCUGAGAUGAAUGGAAUUAAGACUGAGUUAAUAACCUGACUAAGACUAGGGCUAGGGCUAGGAUGCAAUUAAGACUGAGUUAAUAACCUGACUAGAACUAGGGCUAGGAUGCAUCAUGUUUUCUAUUCUUGCGUGUUGAUAUGGUUGAGUGCAGGUUCCCGUUAUCUUUAAGGAUAGUUUCAUAGCAGGAGGCUGGACUAUCUGGAUAACGGUUUGAUUUAUUUGUUUAGUAUUGAUAUUAUUGUUUAGUUAUUAGUACUAAGGGUCUUAGGCCAUAAAGGCCGGACUACUGGUACUAUGGUUAGUCUUGUGGAGUCGAGUGUCUAGUUAGGAUCUGGAACUUUGGCUUUAGGUUAGGUUCUAGAUUGAGUUUGUUUUGUUGUGAGUGUGCCGACAGUAUGUGCGAAACCCGCCCAUACUAGGCUUGUGUAGGGGUGAUUAGUGUUUCCUCGGCCUCGUACCCAGCGGGUUCAAGGAAACCCCUUAUUCGCUGGAUCGGGAAGACUCAGAGAGACGGGAUCAUGGCCUAGGGCUGAGUUAUUACACGACGGUGUAAUGUGGCAGUGACCCUCAUGUACUAUGGCUGAGUAUUACACGACGGUGUAAUGUGGCAGUGACCCGAAGGACUGUGGGCUGUCGCGCGGUGACCCGAAUGACUGUGGGCCGCGGUCGGUUGAAAGUUCCUUCUUCUGGCCUUUGUGGUAGGGAGAUAGGAUAUUGCCGAUAGAGAGGAGGAACACGAAGUCACCAGGGCCCAGGUUAGAGUGUUGUGUUAGUGUGUCGUAGAGGGUUAUAGAACCCUCGAGUUAGUGUAGCACCGAUAUACGGUGUUACAAGUUAGAUCGAGUCGUAGUUACUCAUAGUCUUAUUAUUGUGAUUGUGUUUGUGGUUGAUUGAUUUGCUUGCAGGUUCUGACCUUAAGUCUAAGUCUGGUUUAGGUACCGGAUUAGGCUUGAUGUGUAUUUUGUUAGUGUAGGCCUGACGUUGGCCUGUAUGUGUUUGAGUGAUUGCUUGUGAAGGGUGGUGGAUAUUAAAGCUAUGCGGUAUCAUUGGUUGGCCGAUCAUGUUCUUGUUUGAUUGUUGGUCGAUCAAUUAAUGAUACUUGUAUAGUCUAAGUGUCUAACACUACAUGAGUAUUGAACUCAGGCGUAUAUAUGGUUAACUAGGAAUUGCUUGUUGACUUGUUUUAAUGCAGGUUCCCGUUACUUGAAGCUAGA